rnacentral:lncRNA from 1 species
CCCGCCCCCGGCCUGGUGUAGAUCAUGCCGCCAGUGGCGGCCCUGACUGCCGAGGAAACCGUAGCCUAGGACAGUUGGCUGUUAAGUGACACUGAUUCUCCCCGCCCCGCCUGACCCCUGAGAAAGAGGCACGUCCCCCGCCGCGUGAGGGGGUGGGGAAGUGGGUAGCGAAUUCGGAUCCACCUGGGAGGGGGGGAGUGGAAGUUCCCGCCCCAGACAGCGGCGAGGCGGCAGCCACAGUUGAUUAUGGAAGAUUCUCACAAGAGUAACACUUCAGAGACAGCACCUCAGUCUGGUUCAGCAGUUCAGGGAGCUCAUAUUUCUCACAUUGCUCAACAGGUAAGGCAAGAACCAGCCAAAAUAUUGAGCCAGUUAGGAUUAUCCGUAAUGUAGAUUAAUCUGUUGUUUCAGAUUGCUAAUUACUAACAUUCAAAAAAAGAACCAAGGAGGGAAAAAAACCUGUACAAUGUUGAAAUGUAUAGAAGGAAGGGAUAUUUUAUUUAACUAUCUUAAGAUCAUUGUUUUAUUUUCUUUCAUUCAAAGUAUAUUUAGUAUUGUUUUAAUAUGCAUAUACUUCUCAAAACUUGGAAAGAUAGAUUUCAUUUUAUGUGGUGCAGGAUCAUUUAGAUAUUUUUCAGACAAAAUUUAUUGCUGCAUAAGAAGAAUGAAAAAUUAUUUGGCUUUUUGGGCUAACUUGAAAUAGACACUGAUAGUUUCAGGUGGGAAACUUUCUUUUAUGGGGGAACCAUUUCCAAUUUUAUAGAUAUAUUGUGGAUAUAUAGAAAAUAUUUUUGCUGAACUGGAAUAUAGGCAUAUUAGAGAAUUUAAACUGACAGUUGUACAUAUUGCAGAACUGAUGAUAUUUUUAAAAUGUCAAAUUUUCUGAUUCAUGGCCCUGACUCUAUUCAGGGAAGACAACUGACAGUAUAUGUUGCCAGCAAUAGGAUUUGAAUUUUUGGAAUUCCUUUCGUGAUGCAGUGGAAACAAACCCGACUAGGAACUAUGAGGGUUGUGGAUUCGAUCCCUGGCCUCGCUCAGUGGGUUAAGGAUCCGGUGCUGCUGUGAGCUGUGGUAUAGGUCGCAGACAUGGCUUGGAUCCCGCGUUGCUGUAGCUGUGGUGUAGGCCAACAGCUACAGCUCUGAUUCGACCCCUAGCCUGGGAACCUCCAUAUGCUGUAGGUGUGGUGCUAAGAAGCAAAAAAAAAAAAAAAAAAAAAAA